GUCUAGCGGCGGACGGGUUAGUAACGCGUGGGAACGUACCCUUUUCUGCAGGAUAGCCACUGGAAACGGUGAGUAAUACUGCAUACGCCCUUCGGGGGAAAGAUUUAUCGGAGAAGGAUCGGCCCGCGUUAGAUUAGAUAGUUGGUGGGGUAAUGGCCUACCAAGUCUACGAUCUAUAGCUGGUUUGAGAGGAUGAUCAGCAACACUGGGACUGAGACACGGCCCAGACUCCUACGGGAGGCAGCAGUGGGGAAUCUUAGACAAUGGGCGCAAGCCUGAUCUAGCCAUGCCGCGUGAGUGAAGAAGGCCUUAGGGUCGUAAAGCUCUUUCGCCUGUGAAGAUAAUGACUGUAGCAGGUAAAGAAACCCCGGCUAACUCCGUGCCAGCAGCCGCGGUAAUACGGAGGGGGUUAGCGUUGUUCGGAAUUACUGGGCGUAAAGCGCGCGUAGGCGGACAUUUAAGUCAGGGGUGAAAUCCCGGGGCUCAACCCCGGAACUGCCCUUGAUACUGGGUGUCUUGAGUUCGAGAGAGGUGAGUGGAAUUCCGAGUGUAGAGGUGAAAUUCGUAGAUAUUCGGAGGAACACCAGUGGCGAAGGCGGCUCACUGGCUCGAUACUGACGCUGAGGUGCGAAAGUGUGGGGAGCAAACA
rnacentral:rRNA from 1 species